rnacentral:rRNA from 1 species
AGGAGGCAGCAGUGGGGAAUAUUGCGCAAUGGGGGAAACCCUGACGCAGCAACGCCGCGUGAGCGAUGAAGGCCUUCGGGUCGUAAAGCUCUUUAACCAGGGAUGAUAAUGACAGUACCUGGGGAAUAAGCCACGGCUAACUACGUGCCAGCAGCCGCGGUAAUACGUAGGUGGCGAGCGUUGUCCGGAAUUACUGGGCGUAAAGGGUGCGUAGGCGGAAUUUUAAGUCAGAUGUGAAAUCCCUGGGCUCAACCCGGGAAUGGCAUUUGAAACUGGGAUUCUAGAGUGCAGGAGAGGAAAGCGGAAUUCCUAGUGUAGCGGUGAAAUGCGUAGAUAUUAGGAAGAACACCAGUGGCGAAGGCGGCUUUCUGGACUGUAACUGACGCUGAGGCACGAAAGCGUGGGGAGCAAACAGGAUUAGAAACCCGGGUAGUCCC